UACAGAGGUCCCAAGCGUUGUUCGGAUUCACUGGGCGUAAAGGGUGCGUAGGUGGUCGGGUAAGUCUGAUGUGAAAUCUCCGAGCUUAACUCGGAAAAUGCAUUGGAUACUAUCCGGCUGGAGGAUUGGAGGGGGGACUGGAAUUCUCGGUGUAGCAGUGAAAUGCGUAGAUAUCGAGAGGAACACCAGUGGCGAAGGCGAGUCCCUAGACAAUUCCUGACACUGAGGCACGAAAGCUAGGGGAGCAAACAGG
rnacentral:rRNA from 1 species